rnacentral:rRNA from 1 species
UAACGUAGGUGGCAAGCCGUUGUCCGGAAUUAUUGGGUCGUAAAGGCGCGCGCAGGCGGUCCGUUUAAGUCUGAUGUGAAAGCCCACGGGCUCAACCGUGGAGGGUCAUUGGAAACUGGGGGACUUGAGUACAGAAGAGGAAAGCGGAAUUCCACGUGUAGCGGUGAAAUGCGUAGAGAUGUGGAGGAACACCAGUGGCGAAGGCGGCUUUCUGGUCUGUAACUGACGCUGAGGCGCGAAAGCGUGGGGAGCAAACAGG